rnacentral:lncRNA from 12 species
CCCAGAUGGAGCCAGAUUUGGGAUCAAAAAAUCACUGCAGGAUCAAACAGAUUGGGCAUUUCUUGGGAAAUUGCUGGAAAACUUUCAUGGAAUCACGGAAAACCUGAGCUGGAAUAAACCCCCAGGGAUCAUCCAGUCCCAGCCCCCCAAAAUCCCAGCCUGGGCAUCCCUGGAGCUCCUGGAGCUGUGGGGAGCCUGGGCAGUGCCCAGCACCCUCUGGGAGAAGAACCUUGCCCUAAAAUCCAUCCCAAAUCCCUCCUGGCCCAGCUCCAGCUGCUCGCUCUGCUUUAAUACUUGGAUUGGUCCCAAAAU